UCUUGUUACGGCCGCCAUUUUAAUACUCGGGUCGGACCGCGUAGUAGUCAAUCUCUUUCCUUUGCGUCGGUGUGCGCGCGCUUUUUUUUUUUUUUUUUUUGCGCCCCCCCUUUCGGCCCGUUCCCGCUAUGGAGGAGAACACCGACUACGGCAGUAGCAAUAACAACAACAACACAAGCUCGGGCGGCGGUGGCGGCGGCGGCCAGGAAGAGUUCGCCGAAGGCUCGAAGAUCAACGCCAGCAAGAACCAGCAGGAUGACGGUAAAAUGUUCAUUGGUGGUCUGAGCUGGGAUACGAGCAAAAAAGACUUGACGGAGUAUUUGUCUCGCUUUGGUGAAGUGGUGGAUUGCACAAUAAAAACAGAUCCUGUCACAGGGAGGUCAAGAGGGUUUGGGUUUGUGCUUUUCAAAGAUGCUGCCAGUGUUGAGAAGGUCUUGGAAUUGAAAGAACACAAAUUGGAUGGCAAGUUAAUAGAUCCCAAAAGGGCAAAAGCUCUGAAAGGGAAAGAGCCACCCAAAAAGGUGUUUGUUGGUGGACUGAGUCCGGAUACAUCCGAAGAACAAAUCAAGGAGUAUUUUGGUGGUUUUGGAGAGAUUGAGAAUAUAGAGCUUCCCAUGGACACAAAAACAAACGAAAGGAGAGGUUUCUGCUUCAUCACAUACUCGGAUGAAGAACCGGUAAAGAAAUUGCUGGAAAGCAGAUACCAUCAGAUUGGUUCUGGCAAGUGUGAGAUCAAAGUAGCACAGCCCAAAGAUGUAUAUAGGCAGCAGCAACAGCAACAAAAGGGAGGCAGAGGUGCUUCAUCUGGUGGGCGUGGGGGAUCCAGAGGACGUGGCAGGGGUCAAGGCCAAAAUUGGAAUCAAGGGUAUAACAAUUACUAUGAUCAAGGAUAUGGAAGUUACAACAGUCCUUACAGUGAUCAAAGCUACAGCAGCUAUGGGGGAUACGAUUAUUCUGGGUACAAUUACCCAAGUUACGGCUACAGCCAGGGAUAUGCUGACUACAGUGGACAGCAAAGCACAUAUGGAAAGGCAUCCCGAGGUGGCGGUAAUCACCAAAACAACUACCAGCCAUAUUAAAGAAAUACUUGGGAAAAAAAAGCGGGAACUUCCUUGCAGGCCGUGUGUCACCCUGACCACGUCUAUCUCUGGGGGUCGCACGUUGCAGGCAGAGCGCAAGGCAUACACCAGAAAACGCUGUCCUGUGGUAGAGACUACAGCAAAGCCAUCUUGCAGAACUUAAAAAGGACUUGACUGGAGGGUAGUCUUCGUGACAUGAAAUUGUUUUGUAAAAGACUUUUAGUGUAUGACACAGCAGUGUCUAACUGUACAUAGUGACCGGCUAGUUUUCUUUAUGGUUUUUACUUUUUUGUCCUUUUGUCAUCUGUGUUACGAUGCCAAUGUGGUUCUUGUGUUUAUACAAUUUUAUUUGUAUUUCUUGUUGAAUGACUCAAAUAAAAAAACUUACCUUCUGUGACUGUUGCAUUUUGAGGUUGUGCUCUUGGCACUGCUGUAUAGUAGCAGAGGUGAACAGUUUUUGAGACUCCGUCGCCAUGCUUCCGACAGAUGCUGGGACUUGCAGGGUCAGCAGCAAUGGAGUGUGCCGUGAUAUGUACCUGGAUUUAGAAAAUUGCAGUGAGGAGGCUGCAAAGAUAGAAUGAUUUUUCAAGAGUAGUGUCCUGUGUUGUAAUGCCUUAUGAUUUGUUAUAAUUUUGUUAACUGCUGGGAAUCUUCAAUAUAGAAAUGUUAAUAAAUAAAUUUUCAUGCAUUGAAA